UUCUUUUCUCAUAUUUUCUGCAAAAAUUGAUAAAUGGAUCUGGUUUUUAUUAUUUGCUCAGAUUUAUCUCUUUGUGCAAGAGCAAGUUUCUGAAGCAACUAAAUAUUUUAAUAAUUAUGCAUUACAAACUCAUUUGGCUGCUGCUCUGGAAAAUAAAUUAGAAAAAUCAAAUGUUCAUGAGGAUUCAAAGAAACCUACUAAUUUUUGGAACCUUAUUCAAAAUGCUUAUAAUUAUGACAAUUCCGGCGAAGUUUUACUAAAUAUUUGUACAAGUCACAAAGGAAAUCCAAUAUUAGCUGUUAUUGCUGCUUGUUACAGGCCUGAACAUUUAAUACUUUGUUGGUAUACCUGGUUGUGUAGUGCUACAGGUUAUAUAAAUUUAGAUAAUGGUGAGACGUUGCUAAACAUUUCACCUGAAGAUAUUUCCUCAUUGAUAAAUUUCUGUGUGAUAGAAGGAUUUGUAACACAGUUAAAUGAAAGUUUACU